AACUAGCCCCGAUGGAAGCGGCAUCCCCGCCGCGGCGGGAUAUAGCGGACAGCGGGAAAUAGC
rnacentral:sRNA from 1 species